rnacentral:rRNA from 1 species
AGUGAACGCUGGCGGUAGGCCUAACACAUGCAAGUCGAACGGCAGCACAGUAAGAGCUUGCUCUUACGGGUGGCGAGUGGAGGACGGGUGAGGAAUACAUCGGAAUCUACUUUUUCGUGGGGGGUAACGUAGGGAAACGUACGCUAAUACCGCAUACGACCUACGGGUGAAAGCAGGGGAUCUUCGGACCUUGCGCGAAUGGAUGAGCCGAUGUCGGAUUAGCUAGUUGGCGGGGUAAAGGCCCACCAAGGCGACGAUCCGUAGCUGGUCUGAGAGGAUGAUCAGCCACACUGGAACUGAGACACGGUCCAGACUCCUACGGGAGGCAGCAGUGGGGAAUAUUGGACAAUGGGCGCAAGCCUGAUCCAGCCAUACCGCGUGGGUGAAGAAGGCCUUCGGGUUGUAAAGCCCUUUUGUUGGGAAAGAAAAGCAGCAGGUUAAUACCCCGCUGUUCUGACGGUACCCAAAGAAUAAGCACCGGCUAACUUCGUG